rnacentral:rRNA from 1 species
GAUGAACGCUGGCGGCGUGCCUAAUACAUGCGAGUCGAGCGAACGGACGAGAAGCUUGCUUCUCUGAUGUUAGCGGCGGACGGGUGAGUAACACGUGGAUAACCUACCUAUAAGACUGGGAUAACUUCGGGAAACCGUAUCUAAUACCGGAUAAUAUUUUGCACCGCAUGGUUCAAAAGUGAAAGACGGUCUUGCUGUCACUUAUAGAUGGAUCCGCGCUGCAUUAGCUAGUUGGUAAGGUAACGGCUUAUCAAGGCAACGAUGCAUAGCCGACGUGAGAGGGGGGUCGGCCACACUGGAACGGAACCAGGGACCAGGCGCCUACGGGAGGCAGCAGUAGGGAACCUUCCGCAGUGGGCGGAAGCCUGACGGAGCAGCGCCGCGUGAGUGAUGAAGGUCUUCGGAUCGUAAAACUCUGUUAUUAGGGAAAAACAGAUGUGUAAGUAACUGUACACAGCGUGACGGUACCUAAUCAGAAAGCCACGGCUAACUACGUG